rnacentral:rRNA from 1 species
GACGAACGCUGGCGGCGUGCCUAAUACAUGCAAGUAGAACGCUGAAGGAGGAGCUUGCUUCUCUGGAUGAGUUGCGAACGGGUGAGUAACGCGUAGGUAACCUGCCUGGUAGCGGGGGAUAACUAUUGGAAACGAUAGCUAAUACCGCAUAAUAGUAGAUGUUGCAUGACAUUUGCUUAAAAGGUGCAAUUGCAUCACUACCAGAUGGACCUGCGUUGUAUUAGCUAGUUGGUGGGGUAACGGCUCACCAAGGCGACGAUACAUAGCCGACCUGAGAGGGUGAUCGGCCACACUGGGACUGAGACACGGCCCAGACUCCUACGGGAGGCAGCAGUAGGGAAUCUUCGGCAAUGGACGGAAGUCUGACCGAGCAACGCCGCGUGAGUGAAGAAGGUUUUCGGAUCGUAAAGCUCUGUCGUAAGAGAAGAACGAGUGUGAGAGUGGAAAGUUCACACUGUGACGGUAUCUUACCAGAAAGGGACGGCUAACUACGUG